rnacentral:rRNA from 1 species
UUACCAGGUCUUGACAUCCCGAUGCUAUUUCUAGAGAUAGAAAGUACUUCGGUACAUCGGUGACAGGUGGUGCAUGGUUGUCGUCAGCUCGUGUCGUGAGAUGUUGGGUUAAGUCCCGCAACGAGCGCAACCCCUAUUGUUAGUUGCCAUCAUUCAGUUGGGCACUCUAGCGAGACUGCCGGUAAUAAACCGGAGGAAGUGGGGAUGACGUCAAAUCAUCAUGCCCCUUAUGACCUGGGCUACACACGUGCUACAAUGGUUGGUACAACGAGUUGCGAGUCGGUGACGGCGAGCUAAUCUCUUAAAGCCAAUCUCAGUUCGGAUUGUAGGCUGCAACUCGCCUACAUGAAGUCGGAAUCGCUAGUAAUCGCGGAUCAGCACGCCCGCGGUCGAAUACGUUCCCGGGCCUU